UCCUCUCGAUACAACAAACAUCUGUGUCCGGCGAUCCUGGCGUGCCUCCGGGCACUGUCGGUCGAUUGCCGCGACAGUUCGACGCCAUAUAGAGCCCUGACACUUUCCUGAGGACGUUCUGGUCGACAGAUUUGAGAUCAAAUGCGGCGGCGUGCGGUCUUGAGCUCCUCGUGAGCUCGGCUUCACGCUGUCCCGGCGCUAUAUUCCUGAUCGUUUCCUGAGCCCGUCGGGCGUUGAAGGUUGGGAAAAACCAUAGCUUUGCCUACAUUU
rfam:Rachicladosporium antarcticum strain CCFEE 5527 scaffold_4, whole genome shotgun sequence.